CACACACUCAAACCCAACUUUUGCUCUUCAUAAAUCACAUGAGGGAGCAAUAUUUUCGCGUCGAUGGCGACAACACUAUCAAUUUUGCAAAUUUUUGAUUUUAUCAUUGGUAAUUAUUGCCAACCAACCAUACUAAAUUCCUUGAUA
ensembl:ncRNA R13A1.13 ncRNA